GGAGUAUUACGUCAAGGUUGAAAGCUUCUAACUUUACACCAAGCGGUUAAAUUCCGUUUAUACUCCU
rnacentral:tRNA from 1 species